rnacentral:lncRNA from 1 species
GGGGAUCGAUCGGGAGAAGGAAAAUGUACAGUCAACCGUGAAAUUAGCAUUGGGGACCGCUAAGGCCUCUGAAUUGUAGGGGAGCCAAAGUUAGAUUAAGCACACCCUAGAAAAUCUAUUGCUAUAGUGGGCUUUAUUUUGAUUAUUUUUGUAGUCCAACCAAAUUGCUAGCCUACAUGUGGCUCAGUCUCUCUUUCCAUUGACUCUUCCAAUCCCAUACAAACAGAUGUAGGGCGAUGGGCUGACCGCUAAAGAUUCAUUUCCAUCUUUGUAUACCUAUAAAAUU